rnacentral:rRNA from 1 species
GUGCAAGCGCUUGAACUUUUGAGGGGGUUCUCCUACAGUACGAGAGGACCUAGGAUGCGGAAAUCCCUGGUCUACCGGUUGUCCCAAAAGGGCAUCGCCGGGUAGCUAUAUUUCCAUUAGAUAAGCACUGAAUGCAUCUCAAGUGCGAAGCUAACCUCAAGAUUAUAAGUCUUAAGCUUUCCCAAAGAUUAUGGGAUUGAUAGACGUCCGGUGUAAGUGCUGCAAGGCAUUUAGCCAAGACGUACUAAGUAGC